rnacentral:rRNA from 1 species
GACGAACGCUGGCGGCGUGCUUAACACAUGCAAGUCGAACGGUGAAAGCGGAGCUUGCUCCGCUGGAUCAGUGGCGAACGGGUGAGUAACACGUGGGCAACCUGCUCCUGACUUCGGGAUAACUCCUCGAAAGAGGUGCUAAUGCCGGAUACGAAUCCCGCAGGCAUCUGCGGGAUUGGAAAGUUUUUCGGUCAGGGAUGGGCCCGCGGCCUACCAGCUUGUUGGUGAGGUAGUGGCUCACCAAGGCGACGACGGGUAGCCGGCCUGAGAGGCCGACCGAGCACACUAGAAGUGAGACACGGCGCAGACUCCUACGGGAGGCAGCAGUGGAGAAUAUUGCGCAAUGGGCGAAAGCCUGACACAGCAACGCCACGUGAAGGAUCACAGCCCUCGGGUUGUAAACCUCUUUCAGCAGGGAAGAAGCGAAAGUGACGGUACCUGCAGAAGAAGCACCGGCUAACUACGUGCCAGCCGCCGCAGUAA